rnacentral:tRNA from 1 species
UGUCCAGGGAUGGGAAACGAACCCACAGUGUUUUGUUUACAGGUAAGAUGCCAUGUCCUCUAGGCUAUCCUGGAC